rnacentral:rRNA from 1 species
UACGAAGGGGGCUAGCGUUGUUCGGAAUUACUGGGCGUAAAGCGCGCGCAGGCGGUCUUCCAAGUCAGUGGUGAAAGCCCGGAGCUCAACUCCGGAACUGCCAUUGAAACUGUUAGACUUGAGGACGAGAGAGGUGAGUGGAAUUCCCAGUGUAGAGGUGAAAUUCGUAGAUAUUGGGAAGAACACCGGUGGCGAAGGCGGCUCACUGGCUCGUAUCUGACGCUCAGGCGCGACAGCGUGGGAUCGAAACAGG